UGUCUUUACAAACUGGACUGGGAAACCAGGCAGCUGGAAGUAGAUGGUAGUAAAAAAAAGAAUCAAGCUUUAGCUGCACAGAGAAGAGGAACCAGUUUUUCCUUCUGGAUGGGAAGAUACAUGUGUGUGCGUGUACAUGUGAAAGACAGGGAUGAUGAAGAGAUGAAUUUCUUUCCUGUGAUUAUCUUCUUUUGGGCUAGCACGGACAUGAAACAGAAGAUACAGCCUUGCUAGACCUUCCAUGGGUGAAAUGGUUUGUGUGGAAAUAGCAGGUGUCACCUGACAGAAUGCCUAAAGUAUAAUGAAUUUAUGGACACGGAACCAGAAGAUGCUAAGAAGAAACACAUUUUCUUAAAGUAAUGCUGAAGGUCAUGUCCUGAAUAUAUUUGUAUAUCCUUUUCUUUCUAGCACAACUGUGGGCAGAACUGACUUAGGUCAAUACUGGGAUGUUGAUAUUUUCUUGCCUAAUUUUUGCUUAUGUGAGUAGUUCUGAUGGCUUCUGUGUGGCUAUCCACAGUGGUGGAGGGCAGUUGUCCUGCUCCAAACCUUGCAGCUCUCUAAAUACCUACGACAGUUGUACUUUGUUCUCCCCGGUGUUUCCCCUCCUACACAUUCCCUAGUGGGAACUGUUUCUCUAAGGAUCAUCUUUGGAGGCCAUGCAAGAGUAGUACCAUCAUGGUGAUGCAAUCUGGACACAUACUCUUUUCUCUGGCUUAUUUCCGUGGUGGCAUUAGUAAAGGUAAUGUGUGUGGUCCUACCUACUCUGCCUCAGUCUGUCCCUCUCUGACUCAGGGCAUGUUUCCAUUUGGCCAGCUGCCUUUACCCCAUAGGACAUGAAGAAUUAUGGAUUGAUGGAAGAGUUGAACUGCUUUUGGUCUGUCAGUCUCAGGAAGGUGCUGCACAUCAUCAUCUCUCUCCACUCUCUGGCACCAGAGCACUUCCACUGCAGGAUCCUACUAAGGGGGAAAACUGGAAGUUCAACAAGAACAACUUACAACAGGAGGAAACAAAUGAUCAUGAAAUGAAAGAAGUACUGAAAAAAAACCAAAAACCUCACACAGAAAAGCCUGUUGGUCAUCAUUAGGUUUUUUUAGCUCUUCUUGUGCAAAGCUGCAGCAUUUGCUAGAGUGUGCCGAGGACCUGUGUGCAGGAGAAAGGUCAGGAAUAAUUGUGAGGCUUGGCACCCACAGAGUUACAAAGGUUUUCAUUAAAUAUUUUGUCUUGCAAUCGGCUAUUUCCUGACAUAAACUGGGCACAAUCCUUGUUAGUCCACUGCUCUACCACAAGUUUAAUGUGGAGAUUCAUGAAAUAACUCAGCAAGAUGAGAAAACUAAGUUAUUAAAAAAAUAUUUUUGAUGAUAAAUUUAUAUUUUUGUAACAUAUGGAUGCAGAACAAGAACUCAGGAUGCAUUUUAUUGUGGACUUUGUGAAAAUUAAUAAAAGAAUU